UACGGAGGAUGCGAGCGUUAUCCGGAUUUAUUGGGUUUAAAGGGUGCGUAGGCGGGUUAUCAAGUCAGCGGUAAAAUCGUGGAGCUCAACUCCAUCCAGCCGUUGAAACUGAUGAUCUUGAGUGGGCGAGAAGUAUGCGGAAUGCGUGGUGUAGCGGUGAAAUGCUUAGAUAUCACGAAGAACUCCGAUUGCGAAGGCAGCCUGCUGGACUGUAACUGACGCUGAUGCUCGAAAGUGUGGGUAGCAAACAGG
rnacentral:rRNA from 1 species